rnacentral:rRNA from 1 species
UAGGGAAUCUUCCACAAUGGGCGAAAGCCUGAUGGAGCAACGCCGCGUGUGUGAUGAAGGGUUUCGGCUCGUAAAACACUGCUGUAAGAGAAGAAUGACAUUGAGAGUAACUGUUCAAUGUGUGACGGUAUCUUACCAGAAAGGAACGGCUAAAUACGUGCAAG